rnacentral:rRNA from 1 species
GAUGAACGCUGGCGGCGUGCCUAAUACAUGCAAGUCGAGCGAACGGACGAGAAGCUUGCUUCUCUGAUGUUAGCGGCGGACGGGUGAGUAACACGUGGAUAACCUACCUAUAAGACUGGGAUAACUUCGGGAAACCGGAGCUAAUACCGGAUAAUAUUUUGAACCGCAUGGUUCAAAAGUGAAAGACGGUCUUGCUGUCACUUAUAGAUGGAUCCGCGCUGCAUUAGCUAGUUGGUAAGGUAACGGCCUACCAAGGCAACGAUGCAUAGCCGACCUGAGAGGGUGGACCGCCACACUGGGAACUGGACCCCGGCCCAGACACCAAGGGAGGGAGGAGGUGGGAAUAUUGCAGAAAGGGCGGAAGCCCUAACGAGGCAUCCCGCGGGGGUUAAGAAGGGUUUCGGGUUCUAAAAACCCUUUUUUUGGAAAAAAAAAUAUCGGAAAGUAACUGUGCACAUCUGAAGGUAACCAAAUAAGAAGCACCGGCCAACUUAGUG